GCUUUCUUUGGCAGCACAUACUAAAGUUGGAACGACACCCACGAUUAACAUGGGCUCUGUGCUAGGAUGACAAACAAAUUUAUUAAGUGAUCCAUAUGUUA
rnacentral:snRNA from 1 species